GCCUUCUGGAAUGUCAUCUCUCUUCCCUCAAUUGGGUAAACCUGCAUUAGCUUCAGAAAACUUCCCUUUAAAUCCUAUGCAGAAACUACAAGCUCAUCGAUAUGUUCUUCUGAAUUGUGCAAUAAUCAUGCCAUUUGUGGACGAAUUUAGAGAAUAGAUAAAGAGGAGUUCAAGGGGAAGAAGACCUUCACCUACAGAGAUAGAGGGGAGAGUUAAUAAAGAGUUUUUUGAUUGGUUUCAAAAGCGGCUUAUGAAUCAAGACACAAUAGAUACAAUGUCUAUCGAUCUAAAGUUUUUAGCACGAGGUCCAUCUGUAAAUGCAAGAAGAUUUACUGCAUAUAACAUUAAUGGGUCCAAAUUUUGAACUUUGGCUCGAGAAGAAGUUUUGAAAACACAGAAUAGUGGAGUUUUCUUAACCUCCAAAACAUCAUGUGUUGCAAGCAGUGUUGACGAAAAUUUAAGGCAAGCAGAGUUACCAUAUUAUGGGAAGUUAGAAGAUAUUAUUGAGAUUAAUUACAAUGGACGGUUCAAGGUUGUUCUUUUCAAAUAUUGAUUCAUACUAGUGAACGUGAAGAACAUGAGCCUUACAUCGAAGCAUCUCAAGCACAAACAGUGUACUAUGUGGAUGACAUUGUCAAUAAAGGG